rnacentral:rRNA from 1 species
UACGUAGGGUGCAAGCGUUAAUCGGAAUUACUGGGCGUAAAGCGUGCGCAGGCGGCUUUGCAAGACAGAUGUGAAAUCCCCGGGCUUAACCUGGGAAUGGCAUUUGGGACUGCAAGGCUGGAGUUUGGCAGAGGAGACUGGAAUUCCUGGUGUAGCAGUGAAAUGCGUAGAUAUCAGGAGGAACACCGGUGGCGAAGGCGGGUCUCUGGGCCGAUACUGACGUGAGGAGCGAAAGCGUGGGGGAGCGAACAGG